rnacentral:rRNA from 1 species
UACGGAGGGUGCAAGCGUUAUCCGGAUUCACUGGGUUUAAAGGGUGUGUAGGCGGUUAUUUAAGUCAGUGGUGAAAUCUCCGGGCUCAACCCGGAAACUGCCAUUGAUACUAUUUAUCUUGAAUUCUGUUGAGGUAGGCGGAAUAUAUCAUGUAGCGGUGAAAUGCUUAGAUAUGAUAUAGAACACCGAUUGCGAAGGCAGCUUACUAAACAGAUAUUGACGCUGAGGCACGAAAGCGUGGGGAUCAAACAGG